GCGAACAAGGGGGAAGCGGUCGGGGGAAUACGGAGGUGGGGAGCGUGAAUCGGAAGUACGUGGCGGAAAGUGGGCGAAGGCGGCAGGGCAAGUCGAGUGGGAAAGCCCCGGGCUUAACUUGGGAAGUGCGCUCGAAACUACUGUGCUGGAGUGUGGCAGAGGAAGGUUGAAUUCCACGUGUAGCGGUGAAAUGCGUAGAGAUGUGGAGGAACACCAAUGGCGAAGGCAGCCUUCUGGGCCAACACUGACGCUCAUGCACGAAAGCGUGGGGAGCAAACAGGAUUAGAUACCCUGGUAGUC
rnacentral:rRNA from 1 species